rnacentral:pre_miRNA from 1 species
AAACUAUUCCCUCUAUUCUGAAUUACUUGUCGCACGUAUGGAUGUAUCUAGAUGUAUUUUAGUUCUAGAUACAUCCAUUUCAGCGACGAGUAAUUUGGGACGGAGGGAGUAGUUG